rfam:Helobdella robusta unplaced genomic scaffold HELROscaffold_3, whole genome shotgun sequence.
GUGGGGUACGGAGAUAUGAAGCCGACGAGUGCUUGGGGAAAGUUAGUGGGGUCCAUGUGUGCCAUCGCCGGGGUCCUAACCAUCGCCCUCCCAGUUCCCGUCAUCGUCAGUAAU